GUGGGGAAUAUUGCGCAAUGGGCGAAAGCCUGACGCAGCAACGCCGCGUGCGGGAUGACGGCCUUCGGGUUGUAAACCGCUUUCAGCAGGGAAGAAGCCGCAAGGUGACGGUACCUGCAGAAGAAGCACCGGCUAACUACGUGCCAGCAGCCGCGGUAAUACGUAGGGUGCAAGCGUUGUCCGGAUUUAUUGGGCGUAAAGAGCUCGUAGGCGGUCUGUUACGUCGGUUGUGAAAACUCGGGGCUUAACCCCGAGCCUGCAUCCGAUACGGGCAGACUUGAGUGUGGUAGGGGAGACUGGAAUUCCUGGUGUAGCGGUGAAAUGCGCAGAUAUCAGGAGGAACACCGAUGGCGAAGGCAGGUCUCUGGGCCACAACUGACGCUGAGGAGCGAAAGCGUGGGGAGCAAACAGGAUUAGAAACCCGGGUAGUCC
rnacentral:rRNA from 1 species